AGGGUUUGAUCCUGGCUCAGGAUGAACGCUAGCGGCAGGCUUAACACAUGCAAGUCGAGGGGCAGCGGGGGAGCGGCGACGCUCCUGCCGGCGACCGGCGCACGGGUGAGUAACGCGUAUGCGACCUGCCCCCCGCAGGGGGAUAACCGGGAGAAAUCCCGACUAAUACCCCAUAUUCCGAAAGGCUGCAUGGCCUUUCGGCGAAAGGGCUACCGGCGGGGGAUGGGCAUGCGUGGCAUUAGGAAGUUGGCGGGGCAACGGCCCACCAAUCCAUCGAUGCCUAGGGGUUCUGAGAGGAAGGUCCCCCACACUGGCACUGAGACACGGGCCAG
rnacentral:rRNA from 1 species